GUUUUUUUUAUAUACCUGAGAAUCCUCUUAUACCUACAUUAAUAACCAGCUCACAGGCAUAACAGUCUUCUAGUAUAGAUUAUAUUUUGGGGCAAGUCUGAUCUGCCUAGGAGCAUAUUAGGUAUAACAUCAUAUCCAGUACGCUUGCUCACACACACACACACACUAUAUAUAUAUAUAUAUAUAUCCGGGAAUACUUUAUUAGGAACACCUGAUCAUUCAAUCAUUCAUGCAAGUAUACAAUCAGUCCAUUACGUGGCAGCAGUGCAAUGUAUAGAAUCAUGUAGAUACAGAUAAAGACCUUCAGUUAAUUUUCACGUAAUUGUUGGUGCCAGAUAUUUCACAAGCUGCGGAUCUCCUGGGAUUUUCAUGCACAGUAGUCUACAGAGCAUCCAGUUCCACUGAGUGGGUGGAAAUGCCUUGUUGAUAAAGAGGUAAAAGGAGAACGGCCAGACUCGUCCGAGCUGACAGGAAGGCUUUUUUUGAUUUGUUAAUUCAAAUAAAAACUCUUUACAACGAUGGUGAGCAGAGAGAAAUGAAAAGCAUUUCAGAACACAUAAUACACAGAACCUUGAGGUGGAUGGGCUACAACAGCAGAAGACCACAUCGGGUUCCACUCCAGUCAGCUAAGAACCAGAAUCUGAAGGUACACUGGCACACACAGAACCUUUAAAGACUGAAAGGAAAAUACAUUGGUUGGUCUUUUCCAGUUUUUUCUCCCACAACACUACAGACAGUUUUCUGUGAAAAUUCCAUGAGUUCAGCAGCUUCUGAAAUACUCAGACCAGACCAUCUGGAACUAACAACCAUGCCACAGUCACUGAGAUCGCAUAUUUUCCACAUUCUGUAUCUGCAUGAGUUAUACAUUGUGCUACUGCCACAUGAUUGUCUGGCUGAAUAAUUGCAUGAAUGAACAGGUCUAGAUGUUCCUGAUAAAGUGGCCAGUGAGUGUAUUUAAGUAUAUAAGUGAAGACUGGGAAGUAUCAAAGUGUCAGUACACUCAUUGGGCCCUCAUUUAUCUUUUUUGUGUGUGUGUGUGAUGCCCACAAAUCCCAUAAAAGAUAAAGCUCACAGACAGCUAAAAACUAUUUCUCAGAAGCAGAAGGGGUAAUUAUUUUGACUAAUGUAUACACCAAUAAAAAUAUUAUUUAGCAGCACAGCAGCAUGUGAAAAGGUUCAGAUCUGAAGACAAAUUACAGAAAAGGUCAGUUAGG
ensembl:lncRNA